GUAUCCAAACUUGAAUUCUGAAGGAAAUUUCAUAUCGAAGGUAAAACACUUCUUAACAAAGAUAACUCUGUAUGUGAGACUCAAACACGAUAGGUCUGAGGAAUAAGUACUUACCUUCUUUGUUAGUACUUAUUAAAGUAAUAGUAUGACUAAAUGCCCUCAAAGGUCUAGGUUGUUCUUUUGACCUAUUUUUUGGAACCUACUUAAAUACUACUCCCAAGUGACUAUUCUUUGUUGCCAUCAUUUACCCAAGAUUUCUUUUUUUCAACUUCCUGCUGAAAAAGGGGUGUUUUUUCUUCUUACAAAUCCAGCUCAAGAUUUCAUCCUUUUGCUUUCUUGAUUGAUUGAGUAGGUUUGGGUUGACGUUGAAUUUGGGUUUCUUGUAAAUGAAAAGAAAAUGUGGGUCUAGUUCUUGUAGUACUCAAUAUAUAUGAGCUGGCUUUGUCUUUGUAUGCCACCAGCAGAAGUGAUGAAAAUUACUGUCUGAUUCUUGAAAAGGUAUGAGCAAAGUAUUGUCUUUUUAGUUCCAAAAAAUGCCUUGGGUUCAGUCUGAAAUCAGGGAAAAAUAUGAUCUUUUGAAUCAUAUUCAUCUUCUGUCAUCUCCUCAGAAAGACUCCUCUACCCCAUCAUCAUCAUCUGGAAACAAAAUUAGUCCAGCUGUUCUUUUUAUCAUAGUAAUACUAGCUAUCAUAUUCUUUAUUUCUGGUGUUUUGCAUUUGUUAGUUAGGUAUUUGAUGAAACAUAGGUGGUCCUCUUCUUCAUCUAAUAGAGACCCUGAAAUGUCUGAUUCUGGUACCUAUCAAAGGCAGUUACAACAGCUUUUUCAUCUUCAUGACUCAGGUUUAGAUCAGGCUUUUAUUGAUGCUCUCCCUGUGUUUCUUUACAAAGAAAUUGUGGGUUUGAAGGAGCCUUUUGAUUGUGCUGUUUGUCUCUGUGAGUUUUCAGAACAAGAUGAAUUGAGGCUGCUCCCUUUAUGUAGUCAUGCCUUUCAUAUAAGUUGUAUAGAUACAUGGCUGUUGUCAAAUUCAACUUGCCCCCUUUGUAGAGGAAUCCUUUUCACACCUGAUUUUUGUGUUGAAAAUCCAAUCUUUUGCUUUGAUGAUUCAAUAAGAGAUGAAUGUGGUGGUGGUGGGGUUUCAGAACAUGGAAGUGUUGGUGUUGGUGUUUCUCCUGGUGUAAAACCACAUGAGGAUUUAGAUAGUACUAUUAGUUCAAGAAGGGUGUUUUCUGUUAGACUUGGCAAAUUCAAGAACACAAACAAUGGUCUUCUUGAAAAUGGGAAAAGGGAAAUGGGAGAGACUAGUAACAGUAGUUUGGAUUCAAGGAGGUGUUUUUCAAUGGGGUCUUUUCAAUAUGUGGUGAAUGAUUCAGAAUUGCAAGUGGCAUUUUGUCCCAAUAGUGCUAAAAAUCAUGGUGUUGAUGGUGGUGGUGGUCAGUUGAUGAGGGGAAUUGUGAAAGGGAAAAGUGGACACAAUGGAAGUUCUGCAAAUGAUGGAGACAAUUAUGGCAAAAGGAUUGGAAAUAAAGGGGAGAGUUUUUCUGUUUCCAAGAUUUGGCUAUGGUCUAAGAAGGAUAAAUUUCAUAAUUCUGCAGAUAAUGUAAGUUUGCCAUGGACUGAUGAUCAUAGAACUCAACCUGUUUGAAGAUAGUUAUACAAAUCUUUUUUUUUUGUCUUUCUUUCAAUUGCCUUGUAGUUUGGUUAAAUUAAAGUUUACAUUUGAUUAUUCAGUUGCCAAAGUUCUUUUGGAGCUUUUACUUUUUCACUUUUUUUCUCUUUAUUGCUUUCUAGUAGUACACACUAUUCUUUAAAUGAUGCUUCUUUCCAAUUUCCACUUUUGUGGAAGAAGGAUAACAUGUUUCACUUUAACUUCUUUUUUUUCAAUUCAAAAUCCCAUCAAAUUCACCCAAGAUUUGAGAAAGUUCUUUUUCCUACCAACUCUAAAACUUAACAACAACAUACUCAGUGUAAUCCAGCAAGUGGAAUCUGGAGAGGCUAAUCCAGCAAGUGGAAUCUGGAGAGGAUAGUAUGUAUGCAGACAUUGCCUCUAGACUUUUUUAACUUAAGGGACCACUUGGGGUUGCUGAAAAGUUAAAACCAUUGAAUAAUGUACUACAAUUCUCUUGUUAAGGCAUUUUCAAACUCAAAUGAAUGCUGCAAUCUCAAGAAAAAAAAACCUAGAUCAACUCUUGGGAUUCUUCCUUCCUAUUUUAAUAAUCUUGUUUGUGGCUCCCAAAAGAUUCUCCACACUUUCAAAUCCAAUUGCCACUAUUAUCCUGUUUUGUCUCUUUUGAACUCUAUGGUGUUUAGUUAAUUAAUGCCACAUGAACAUUAAAUUGCUGGCUAUAUCUGUACUUAGGCUUACAGCUUACUAUAUUGUACUUCAUUUAACAACUGGCUGAAAAAGUGGAUGAUACUCUAUUAAUGUCAAGCUCCUAUUUAAACAAAGUUGGAACUUGGAAGUAUAUGAUUCUUGGUCUUACUACAAAUUCUUUUACACUCCUUAGUAGCCAAUAUGUAAAAACUCGAAAGGUGCAUGCAAGCUGACUUGGACACAACAGUUAAAAAAAAAACUUACGCGAACCCGAUAACUUACCCUCCCCCUUCCCUAGCAGGACCUACUAAUGUUCUACAAGAUGACAAUAUCUUUCUUCCAACUGAUUUCUUUUUCAGAAAUGGGUUGGUAGUCCCACCAACUAUUUUCUUCUGCAAGGUCCAUUGUGUGGAGCUUCUCAUAAUGGUGGGAUUAGGGGUGUACAAAACCGAAUCGAAAAUUGAACCAAACUGCAAAUUGAGUCAAAUCGGAAAAAAAAACCGACUAGUGGUUUGGUAUUAGAAAAAAAAUCCGACUAUAUUUGGGUUGGUUUGGUUUUAACUAAAAAAAACCAACCCGAGACCAAACCAACCCGACAUUAUAUAUAUAAUUUUAAAAUUUUAUUUUAUAUGUAAAAAUAAUUACUUUGAUAUAAUUUUUAAAUAUUUCUUAUACUUUUUCAUAGUUUUUAUCUUUUAAUANNNNNNNNNNNNNNNNNNNNNNNNNNNNNNNNNNNNNNNNNNNNNNNNNNNNNNNNNNNNNNNNNNNNNNNNNNNNNNNNNNNNNNNNNNNNNNNNNNNNNNNNNNNNNNNNNNNNNNNNNNNNNNNNNNNNNNNNNNNNNNNNNNNNNNNNNNNNNNNNNNNNNNNNNNNNNNNNNNNNNNNNNNNNNNNNNNNNNNNNNNNNNNNNNNNNNNNNNNNNNNNNNNNNNNNNNNNNNNNNNNNNNNNNNNNNNNNNNNNNNNNNNNNNNNNNNNNNNNNNNNNNNNNNNNNNNNNNNNNNNNNNNNNNNNNNNNNNNNNNNNNNNNNNNNNNNNNNNNNNNNNNNNNNNNNNNNNNNNNNNNNNNNNNNNNNNNNNNNNNNNNNNNNNNNNNNNNNNNNNNNNNNNNNNNNNNNNNNNNNNNNNNNNNNNNNNNNNNNNNNNNNNNNNNNNNNNNNNNNNNNNNNNNNNNNNNNNNNNNNNNNNNNNNNNNNNNNNNNNNNNNNNNNNNNNNNNNNNNNNNNNNNNNNNNNNNNNNNNNNNNNNNNNNNNNNNNNNNNNNNNNNNNNNNNNNNNNNNNNNNNNNNNNNNNNNNNNNNNNNNNNNNNNNNNNNNNNNNCUUAAAUCAAAAUCAAAUUAAUACUAAUGCAAAAAGAAAAUCAAUUCAACACUAAGAAUGACAAUAAUAUUGAAUAUUUGUUCCAUGGUUUUACAUUGGUUUAUUCAAAUACAUGAUCUAAUUUUAAUUUCCUUUAAUAUUUAGUCAUGUAACUAAUACUUAUUAAAUGUAUUUUAGCAUGAUUUAGUACUUUUAAAUUAUGAUCAUUGUUAUUAUUACUUAUUAAUUUGCAAUAUUUGUUUUACGCGAUUUCAUUAUAAUUUUGUUGUUGGAUAUUUUAGUGUCAUUAAUCAUAUCAUAUUUUGUGUUAUUUUCUUAAGAAACACCUUAGAUAGUUGUAUUUUGGUAGGACUAAAGAAAUAUUUGAAAUACAAGUAAAUUAUAUGUUUGUAUGAAUACUUUACCGGAAAAACCCGAAAAAAUUCGAAAAAACCCGAAGUUGAAAAACCCGAGUUUUAUUGGUUUGGGUUGGUUUAUAAAUUCAAAAAUCCGACACAAAUGGUUUGGUUUGAUAUUUGAAAAAUCCGAACCAACCCGAUCUUGUACACCCCUAGGUGGGAUCAAUGAAAAGUGGUGUGGGAGACUUUAGUGAUGAAAUAGAUGGUUUCCUAGUUGUGGGGACAUUGACAUUUUACCCCUUGCUCAAUGCUCAUGUUGUUGUUGUUGCACUCAAUUACAAAUCACUAUGUAGGGUGUAGAACUAAUGUAAAAAAAAUACAUCUUAAUUAUUUUGUUGACUAAGCUACCUACUCUACUGGAUUUAAAUGAAUAGUUAAUAAAUAAUCAGACUAAUAUAUGUCAUUGACAAGUUAACAAUGUUUUGAAGGUAUAACAGAUCAUGAAGUGCAAAUGAAUGGGCAGCCAGUUUAUGAACAGUUCAUUCUGGUUGUCACAUAGGAUAUUUAAUUAAAGAAAGAAACUCAAUGUGAAAAAAAAAAACUGUAAUACAUUAAACAGUUCCAAGUAAUGAAGAAAAUUAUUACUACAGCAUAAAAUAACACAAUAAUUUUCUUAUGAGUGCAGUUCAGUGACCAAGAGAAUACAUAUUCUAAUUGUAUAUCCUAAAUACUUUCUGUUAACCUAGUAUGAAUUCUUACUUCUCUAUUUAAGCUCAACUCAUACUCAUGUCAUCAAACUUCGUACUUCGAUUAAAUGCAAAACUCGGUUCAACACCAAGGAUUUGUGAUGUAUGUCUGCCACCAAUUUUGUACUACUUUUACUGUUAAACAGGAGUAGAAGACUGAUUGGUAAGUUAUUGUGAGGAAACAAUAAUUGGCAUGCUUUAUUACUCCCAUUUGACACAGUAGUUGCUUGAAUAAUGCAACUGUAUCUAUGUCAGAUCUUCUGUAAUGCAUAAUAUUAGGAUAUUCCGACACUGAUGCUACAAUAUUUUUGGAAGAUCCGAGCAACAUAGUCUUGCCAUGUAGGAUAAGCCUCACUCUUUAGGUCCCACUUUAUAAUAAGUAGGACUUAUUUGAAACCAAGAAUGUAAAGAAAAAGAAGAGCAUAAAGGUACAAAAAAGUGAGAAGGCUCACACAAAAAUGAAAAUGUAUCCCAAGUACAUGUGGAACAAUAGGUCUUUGAUGGUGGAUAAAACUAAAAACAGCACAUUUUAUAUAACUUGAGAAAAGAAAUGUCUAAAAUAUAACCAGGGUCCCAACUCAACCUAUAUUACAUUUCUUGAAUUUGAUUACUCCAAAAUCUAGAACAAAUGAGACUUACAUAUAUCAAAACUUUUAACGAGGGGUCCAGCAAGGUCUCCCGUAUGUGCCUCAAAAGCCAAAAGUUUACUUCCACAAUGGCAUACUUAGGUAGUAUCAGAUCAUAAUGUACACUGGCGGCUAUCUCUUUUGAAGGUAGAAAGAGGCAAGCAAGUUGAGGCAUCCAAGCAAUUCCCCAAGUAAAGCCACUUGAAAACCAACUAGCACAUGCUACAUCUCUCAGAACAAUUUAACAAAUUGAUUGCAUUAGAAAGUACAAACAACGAGCUGAAACUUCCUCGCAGUGAAUAACAGAUUAAAGCUCUCGCAAAUCAAACUCUUUUAGGGUCAUUCAACUUCACAAAUCACGGGGAAAAUUGUUGACUUGGCCUUCCUCCAAUACAUCCUUACUAUUCACCUUAUAAGCUAUCCGUAUGCGCAUGACAAGGGAUUUCUGGGGAAUGACGGAAAAUAUUAGAUAGCUGUCACUAUAAACCAAAACUGCAGAGGUGACGAUGUUCACGGGCUAUAAAUAGUUACUCAAAAAGUAUUACAAUGCUUUAAAAUUUGUGGAUGACGGUAUGCACACACAUAUUGCAAUAAUAAAAUAGGAUAUGAAAAAGUGCUUAUUUUUAUAGUCAGGUUCACAAAAGAGUGGUCAUGCAAAGUGCUAGAAUGUGCUCAGUCAUCAAAUGGAUAAUUCACAUACCUUGCCAUGUUGGCUGUUUGUGAGUUUCAACUUUUGCAUGAUUGAUCCACUACUAUUUGCAGGUAACAUGUUACCACUUGCUGGAUCCAAGUGCAAUUGAAGAAACUGCACCAAAAAUGACGAAAUAAGCAUAGUUGAGAGCUCAUGAACAUGGUACAUGACUUAAAAUUAGAUUGGUUAGAUCCCAGAAACAAAUUACAAAUGACAGUUGCAGUCGUUGAAAGAAUAGGUAAGCAAAAAUGAAAAAAAUCUCUUAACGAACCCCAAAGAAGUGAUUGUAAUUUCCUAGAAAAGCACCUAACCUAUCACUAAAACCUCCAGCCUCAGAAGUCUCACCCAUGAAGAUAUCACUUUGGAAAGAUCGCUCUGCCCUCACCUGGGUUUAGAUAAUUUCAUGAUUUUUCCGCUUGGAUUGCAAGUACUAGUUUCUAUUGUAAGAUGAAAGAAAACUGACAGAUCAAAAAUGAUUUUUACCAAAAAAAUUGAUUUAGAAUAAUCACAGACGGCGUAAGCUCAGGAAGGGCAAUUGGUCAGUUCAUAUCAUAAAACCAAGCAUUCUAUGCCAACUCUUCUUCCCAAGUGAAAAGUAAAAAACAAAUAAGUCCAAUUACCUUUGGAACUGCAGCUUGGAAAAUAAAGUUUGUGAGAACUUCCCCCGACUUGUUUGUAAAACUAGCUUCAAUAAGUGUUGUCUGUGGGUUUUCAGGCUUCUUUGAGAAGUUGAAUGUUAAUUUUAACGAGCUGCUCUCAAAUGCAACUAUUGAUGGAUAUGCAGGACCAUUUCCUUCUGUAACUGAACAAAGAAAUAUGUGUCAACUUUGAAGAAGCAUUACACUGUAACCAAGGUUAAAGCACAGAAAGAGACUGCACCAGCAAUUGGUGAGCUGGAAGGGAACCCAUUCAAUAAAUCCAACAUAGGAGAACUUCCAGCUGUAGUAGAGACUUGAACUGAAGGAGCAGAAGGUGAGGACAAUCUAUCUAAUAGAUCCACCGGACUUUUAGUGUCGGCAUUGGAGGGUGACACCUGAAUUGUAGAUGGGCUGCUAUUAGCAGGUGGUGUUCCAAUUGACAGAAGAUCCAGUAAAACAUUGGUGCCACUCAUUUGGGCCUGAUUUGUACCUGAAAUUCAAGGAACAAAAUGAGAAUAACUGCAAACUCGUGUUUCACCUUUCCCCUCUCCCCCAUUAUUUUCUUUUUUACUGGUGACGGUUUUUGUAAAACAAGUUGGUGGGGUUGCCUAACUCAAUCUAGUUUUACAGUAGAAUUAAAGAUCUUAAAGUUCAAAUAGAACUUCAAUAUUCCCCUAACUUUAAUCAUAGAUAUCAUGCAGGAAGCAGCGUUUUAGAGACAGGACAGUUCUGAAACACAAAUCCUUCCACAUCUUGGAAUGUACAAUUAAGGAAUUUAACUUAUUGUGCUCCUAUAUUCCACAAUUUACUAGCAAAACUUUCUCACACAAAAGAACAGUAAAAUUCAGGGAUUUUAAUUACUGUGCUUUAGAUCGACAAUUUACUAACAAAACUUUUUCACACACAAUUGGACUUGAUAAACAGUCUCGUUAAAAUAAAAUAAAUAGAACUAAGUUUUUAAUAACGGUAAUGCAAAGGGCUUGUUAUCGUUUUGUUGCAUUGAAUGUUGAUAUCUUUGUCCUAAUGAUAUUACAUGACAAUCACUUGUAUGGACCAUAUUCAUUAUCUAGCUCACAAGGACAAAAACACUCUUCUAGUUCCCCACAAAUGGUCAAAGGAUGCACAUUUAACAUUUAAAUAAGGUACAGGAGAAGAUCUGAAUAUGAACAAAAUCAGAACAAUAAACGCAAACAUAAGGAAGAACUCAUGCAAUGGAACAUAGCAGCACUAACCUGAUUGUGAAGACACUGGCACCAGAUCAACACCAAGAAGAUCCUGAAGAAAGUCUCCACCAGAAGAGCUAGGUGCAGGAACAUCAUCUGAACUAAGAUCAAGUAAGUCAACAAGAGGGGCAGCACUGGGCUUGGCAACUCCAUUUGGAAGAUUGACUGAUACUCCUUGAGAUGUUGACACAGCUGCUGGUACAGAACCAGCCUUCCUUCCGCUGUGGGUUGCUUCAUCAAGAACUGGCAUUCUUUCUACAAGUGAAGGCCUGAAAACAUACAUACAUAAUCAACAACUCCUAUGACUGAGCUACAUAAAAAGUAGGCAUCGAACAACCUUCAAUAUGAAAUCAAACAAACCUGAUAUUCUGAUGCCUCCCAAUUAUUGAGUUAAAUUCAAUAGCUCUCUGUUGCAGUUCAAGCACAAAACUCCCUUUGUACUGGACAAUGAUGUCAUUUAUCCGCCUACACCAAAUCGGAUAUUCACACAUUUCUCAUUAUCCUGAAGAACUCGUUUAGCAGUUGUUUACUCUUGAGCGGCCAUUAGUGUGUCAUCUUAAAAAAUAGAUUUAAGCAAGUAAAAAUGAAAAAUACCAUGAGUGGGACACAUGAGACAGUGGGAGGACAAAUAGUGGGCUGUGCAUAGAUUUUAUUUAUUUAUAGAGGUAUGCCCAACUUGGUGGCAUGUCCCAUAAUGGAAAGAAAUUUCCAUAAAAUGCAACAAGACAGAAAAAACUUAGAGACAAUGUGCAAAAUAGUUAUCAAAUUAAACAAUGUGUGGUUAAUUUGGCAGUAGUUUGUUAGCUGUGUUUAAGUAACUGUAAGCGCAUGGGAGAAAAACCAAGCACCUCCCAAACAGAAUGAAAAAGAGCACAUACUGUGAACAAGAUGGAAAGCGACUUGACAGCUUUAGCAAAGCAAUCAAACACAUCGCCCGAGUAGUGAGAUCAAAUGAAUGGCUCUUAAAGGAAGUCUCCACAACAUCCACAGCAUCAGAUUCUGUCACCUGUUCCAAAGAACUAUAUCAGAGAACCUAGAAAUAGACAAUUCCAAUCCAGAAAUAAUUUAAAAUGAUGACGUGCAUGCGUCGAUCUCAAAUAACUUUCACGUUUUUUUAAAAAUGAGACACAGAAAAGGAGCAAAUUGGAUAGUGAGGACUCAGAAUGCUGACCCCAACUGCUGACCCCAACUAACAUGAGAAAGAGGCAGCUAUUGUAGUUUAUAGUUCAAGGUUCAAGUCAAACUAUAAACUAUUACGACUGUCGACUUGUUUAUCAGCAUCUAUCAUUUCAUUUUCGAAAUCACAUCUGUACUUCGUUGAGUGCAUUUGAAUCUGCAGACAACAAAAAUGCUCCUCAUAGUACAUCAUUCUUAACUUCAUGUCAACAUGCACAACAUGUGGAGCAGAGGCGGAUCCAGGAUUUGAUGAUUACGGGUACCACCAUUACUAAAAAACUGAGUUCUUCCGACAGACAAAAUUUACGGACGCCGUCUGUCUACUAUUUCAUUUAGUAAAGCUAAAGGACAAUAUCGAAAACUCAGAUGAAAUUGAUUUUAAAAAUUUCUUAAUGAAACCAACAGAACCGACGAAAGUCAUCGGUUAAUGAAAUUAUCAUUUUUUUCUAAUACUUUCUUCUUUUUAAUUUAAUUAAUGAUAGAGGCUAUCGGAAAAAUUCAAGGGACUCCAUCGGUGUUUUAUUCCAAGAUGAUAAUUUUGAUAAGUGACUAUUUGUAGGUCCUGACCCUCGGGAAAAGGUGUGUUCUUAGUGGGGCACUAUCUUUAAUGCAAACUUACCACUAGUUAAUAAGAGUGAAUAAAGGUCUACAUUCAGCCGGCUCAAUCCAUUUUGAAUUAAUUCGGUUCAAUUUGAUCCAAUUUGAAUUAAUUUAGUUUGGUUUAAACCUUUUGGUGUAUAAAUAAGAAUGUGAUCACCAAAGCGAAUAAGUUUUGUCCAAUUCGACUAUUUUUCUCAAUUCAGAUUCUGUUGAAUUAUGUGAUCAAACGAUAAAUAAAAUUUUCAACAAGCAAAUACAUCCCUUCGAUCUACAUAUAGCUAGAUUAAUAUUAUGUCACUUGAUAUCACCACUCUAAAUAAUUUUGGAAAUUAAGAAAAGAGUAACAUUAGAUGGGUAAAUAGAAAAAAUGAUUUAAAAUUAUAUUUAAAUAAUAAUUUCAAGAUCCAGAAAAAGAAAAUGCAGAAAAUACAUAAUUUAAAUAAAAUCAUAAAAUAGGGUUUGUGAAAGAGAAAAGAAACUGAAAAAAUAAGAAAAAGAUCUAGACUAAUAUUGAUGUACAUAUUUUUUCUAAUAAAAUCUGACCCUUUUGGGUCUUUAAUUAAAAAAUAGAAGAUCUAGACUAAUAUUGUAUCUCUUGAUAUCAUCGCUCUAAAUAAUUUUGGAAAUUAAGAAAAGAGUAACAUAAGAUGGAUAAACAGAUAUUAUUAUUAAAGUCAUAUUUAAAUAAGAAUUUCAAGAUCCAGAAAAAGAAAAUGAAGAAAAUACAUGAUUUAAAUAAAAUAAUAAAAUAGAGUUCUGAAAGACAAAGAAAUGGAGAAAAAAAAGCCAAAAGGAAUGGGGACGGGACGCGAGGGGUGGGGGGAUAACACUAGGGACAGAGCCACAAAGAUAACAAAUGAAAAAAAAAGGCUUUGAGUCUCGAUCCUAGGAUCAAUUGCUUCACACUUGACACCUUAGCCAUGGCACCCACCAUCAAUUUUUUACUUCGGUGCCACUUUUUAUUUAUGUAUAAAUUACCAGCAUGUGUAUUAAAAAUAUACCAGAGCAUCUGGUUGACAUGCCACUCCCAACCCACUAUAUAGAUCUGCCUCUGGUGUGAAGUUUUCUAAGGUUUAUGAUUGCAUUAGUAGAAACACAUUACAUUGAAUUAUUAUUAGAAUUUAUGUGCUAUAGUUCAUAAAAGAAUUAAAAAUGCUGAACUUUGUGGAAUUUGUAAAAUCCCGAAGAAACAACUUAAACAAUGUUUGGUUGAGGGCUUGUCCAUUUUUCUUUUUUUGAGUGAGGGAUCUGUAGGAGAUGGAAGCUUUGUAUAUUACUUUAUUGUUUAAUUUCAUAACUGAGAAAUUUAUUGUUUCCAACUUCAGUGCUUGGUAGAAAUACCAGACUUGGUUCACCAAUGAUGAAUCAAAUUCGUCUAGCACACAUCUCAUGCUGUACCACCUUAACCAAUUGAACUAGAAGUCUACACGCAGAAACUUGUAUAAUACAUGGAAUUUUCUUUUACACCAAUUACCAUAAUCAAUCCAAUCCAAUUAGGAAACUCUGCCACUACCCUACAUGGUCCUUGUCAAUGGUACAUGGAGAAUUGUGCUCUAGUGAUAGAAAAAGUAGUGAGACACUUCAUCUAGAGUAUGCUGGAAAAUAAAUAAGAGGACCAAGUAAUAUGAUGCAGAAUCAUUUAGGGAAAAACUGUGAUGCAAAGAAAGAUCAAAAUUAGUAGAAGAGUAACUGUUCAAAAGCAUGAACUCACGGUCAAGGGUUCUUCAAUAUCAAGCCUUCCAGCAUUGUUUACUAACAUGUCACCGUAUUCUCCAAUGCACCAAAUUGCAACUCGAACCAGAGUUUCCUAACAAGAAAAAAUUACCAAAUUGUACAAACAAUCAGACACAAAAGGGGGAAAGGAACUAGGAGUUCUAGGCAAUUCUUGAAGUACCUGUUCCCCUGCUGCUUGCACUGCUCUGUAUAGAGAACGUACUGCAUAACCAUGGAGGUCGGAAGCAUUUGUAAUCACCACAAUCAGAGAAUGCCACGCCUCAUCCUUCACAUCAUUUCCAGCCUAUUGCAACAGUAGACAGAUCAGUACUUUUUAAGAAAGAACAAAAGGAAAAACACACCUAUAACAACUUGAGCUUUUAGAUGAGGCGGUCCACACUAUUCAACGUGGUAUUCGAGUAACAGAGUAAGCAUGGGUCUAAGUUUGAGUCUAGCUCGCUGCCACCCAUGUAAAAGGUUUUUCCUAGUGCUUAAACCAAGAAAAAGAUUAGUCCCCUCACGUAAGUUGGUGACUUACAACCCCUAAAAGAUAACUUAUGUUCAUUAAUUAACAGAAAGACCAUAUGGCCUACAAACAGUCUAAAACUCAAACAGAAAGAUCAUAAAAAGAAGGUCAGCCCGAAUGCACUAAGCUCCCACUAUGAGCGGGGUUCCGGGAAGAGCCGGACCACAAGGGUCUAUUGUACGCAGGCUUACCCUACAUUUCUGCAAGAGGCUGUCCACAUAAUACAAAGAAAUAUAUCAGUUUGUACAUACCUCAGAGAGAACCUUGAGCAUCUGAUCAAUGUACCAAAUUUUCUCAGGUGAGAACCUAGAGCACCACAUAAGCAGUUGUAAGUAGGAGAUGCAUUUGAAGAUGUCUUGAAAGAGAAUAAACAAUGCAGUUGUUUGGGAAAGUUAUUGAAUCAUAUUACAAACAUAUGAACCCCGCUUCUCCUGGGGACACAACCAGAGAAAUCAAGAGUAACAAAAAUAUGAAAAGAACAGAUGAAUGAACAGAAAACACAUAUCCUCAGUAAUAUUAAAAAGCAGAAGCAUUUUGCAAAUUCAAAGAAUCAAAAUCAUAGUUCUCAUAAACAUUUUCAGUAUUACUUACUUUUCCACAAUGGAACAGAUUUUUGCAGUGAGAUCUCCCCUAAACUCCGGAUCACUUGCUUCUAGAUAUUCUAUUAAUUCCUUCGUCAUAGGCUUCACAUUGCUUUCGUUUACUAAGAGAUACACAAGUUCAACGGCUCUUUUACGAAUUGAUGGAUCAGAAUCCUGAAAAUUAAAAAAGCCACAGGUUGCUGCAUGUUGAUAAAUGGAACACCAGGGAAUAGUAUGUCCAAAUACGCUAGUUUAACAAAAAAAGUUGCAUAAUCUCACAUGUAGAAAUGACAUUAUCGAUCUGUGAAGCACAUGGGAUACAUGUUCUAGCUAGUCAGGGUAUGUUUUAAGAUUCGACUGUAGAUAUGCUGGACUGGAGAUUAAAGGGAAAGAAGGAUAAGGAUGAAGAAGUGGAAAGAUUAUGAGGAAGAAAAGAAUGUAAAGGUCAAAUACCUUCACACAUUCCAAAAUUGUUGUCCGAUGCCUCUGCACUGCUUGACUAUCUACAGCUAAAGCUUUCAUCAACAUGUUCAGUGCAACAUAUCUGAAAUAAUUGGACCCAACUAGGAUUAGAAAAGAACCCAUGCUAACAAGACAAACAGCAAUGAAAAUCAUCCAAUAUAUCUAACCGUGCAAAUAUCAUAUAGAGAAGUGGAAGAAAAAAAACCUCCUAUUCUGUAGCCUCGAAAGGAAAAGGGUAAAAACUAAGAAAUAAGCAGGUGACUGUAGUCAGUAUGUGGUGCAGACUCAGAGGCAUGCCAAAGAUCUGUCACAGGCUAAAUUCAAUGGAGAUACGCAUUUUCUCAUUAAAAAAAAGACACGUGUAUAUCACACCAAACAAGGGUGCUCUAAGACAAUGAUAGAAUUUCUGACCACCAAUUAACACAGAACACUAUAGUACAAGAAUACCCUGUAGUUUGAAGGCACACAACAAGUGGAGGCAAAACAUACACCACUUAAUUGCAAAAUAAAUACAAGAUCAAUAUGGGUUGGACACAGAAGUGCCACAUUUUGAAUGCAGAUAGCUUUUCCUGACAACUGAGUUUUGUUUUGGUUAAAUAAUUUCUCGAGUGCAUGACAACACUGGCCAUCACACCAGGACCCAAAAGACAAAAUCACUCACAUAAGAUAACCCCAACAUAUUGCAGGGAAAAUAUGCAAAAAGAGAAUGACCUGAUAUUGUUAUCACGGUUGGAUAAAAAUCUUCCCAAAAUGUUAAUAGCAAGCACCCUCAAGCCGCCAUUAUCUUCUACACUCAUGAUAGCUGCAACACAUUCAUAAAGAAUUGCAUUGCCUGCAUUUUUGUUUGAUUCAGUUUUUGUUGCCACCUAGAGAAGAUUACAGAUUUGUUAGAGAAAUAUAUAUUUCAUCAUACAUUAUAAACUUCUGAAAGGUUGAGAUAUGACUAGAGAAAGAAAGAUUAUAGACCCAUUCAGACACAUAUCAUGUCCUUGUGAAUAUUCUCACUUAGUUGCAUACCUAUCAAAGAGAAUUUCUCAUUUUGUUGCAUCCACUUAAAUACCGGGCAUCGCUUUGCAUGGUGUGGGGCUUGAACCUGCGACCUAAGCCACAAAUCCUCCACCUUUUUCCACUAGAGCUAAGCCUUGGGAUCCACUUAAAUACCGAGCAUCGCUUUGCAUGGUGUGGGGCUUGAACCUGCGACCUAAGCCACAAAUCCUCCACCUUUUUCCACUAGAGCUAAGCCUUGGGAUCCACUUAAAUACCGGGCAUCGCUUUGCAUGGUGUGGGGCUUGAACCUGCGACCUAAGCCACAAAUCCUCCACCUUUUUCCACUAGAGCUAAGCCUUGGGAUCCACUUAAAUACCGGGCAUCGCUUUGCAUGGUGUGGGGCUUGAACCUGCGACCUAAGCCACAAAUCCUCCACCUUUUUCCACUAGAGCUAAGCCUUGGGAUCCACUUAAAUACCGGGCAUCGCUUUGCAUGGUGUGGGGCUUGAACCUGCGACCUAAGCCACAAAUCCUCCACCUUUUUCCACUAGAGCUAAGCCUUGGGAUCCACUUAAAUACCGGGCAUCGCUUUGCAUGGUGUGGGGCUUGAACCUGCGACCUAAGCCACAAAUCCUCCACCUUUUUCCACUAGAGCUAAGCCUUGGGAUCCACUUAAAUACCGAGCAUCGCUUUGCAUGGUGUGGGGCUUGAACCUGCGACCUAAGCCACAAAUCCUCCACCUUUUGUUGCAUGUUUUUAAUAAGAGCCUUUUUGAUAAAAUUUCAUUACGACUCCUCAACAAGCAAGUGAGCAAUUGAUUCAAAAUUUGUAAAGUUUCAACCAAAAAAAAACAUUUUUUUUUUCAAAAGUUGUUUUUAACCAAACACCAAAAAUAGAAGUUCAUCCGUUCUUGCAAAAGCUAAAAAAGUACUUUCCAGUGUUUGGUUGGGAAACAGCUUUUGCAAAAAAAAAAAAAAAUUAACAGAAAAAUUCAGAACAUGUUCUCCAAAAUGUUGAAGCAAACGCCAAAUCUAUUCCGAUAUUUUGGGGCCAAGAAUCACCUAAAGCCUUUGCUGUAACAAAGUUCCAAAAGAGGAGAAGCUAUGGCCAACCUAGAGGAGAAUAACUCUGCCAUUUGACAUUGGUAUGGUGGAAUGCAAAAGAAAAACAUAAGAGUCUAGAUUUAUGUCACUAAAAAGGACAAUCCAAACCUGUAAUACACAGUACACAAACUAACUGUACUGUCCCUUCGGUAUUCAUAGAAUAAUCUGUUAAUAAAAUUUCAUCUAUGCUAACAAAAAUCUCUCUGCCACACAAAUAUUUCUGUAAGGGCAAGAUUGACAUGCACUACCAAAACAUUGAAAAAGAUGACUAUCAGGAGACAUUCGGAAAACUUCAAAACUAAACAACUCAGUGAUAUGAAUAGAUAUACAUUAAGAUGCAAAGAGGUGCAACAAACCUGAGCUAGUAUAUCAUUCAUAGUAUCACUGGCAUCGGCAUCAUCUUUCCCCAAAGAACGCAAGAGCCUAAGCAAUCUUAUUUGAAGGAAAGGAUCUGUAAUGCCAGAAACGUCAUACUCAGGCGCAUAUGGACUGUUUGCGAGAUCCCUCAUAAGUUUGACUAAACCAUCCGUGCAUUUCUAGAACCACACAUAAAAAAAAUUAUUGCCACAUCAAAUAGAAGAUAAAGUUUUUGAUGCUUGAAGUUAUCAAAAUUCAAAUAUCUGCUCCAGCAUGUGUAGUUACACUAACACUAUUUUGGUUAAAAGAAGGCUGGAAGAAGUACAAUGUGGAUGCUCUUUGAUUACAUAUUUGGUCACUCACUUCUAGUUGUUUGGUAUGAUAGGAAGAGAGUUUUGUCCUUCCCAACCAAUCUUUAAAAGGUGGGAAAAGCUGACACAGAAAGCUUGAAUAAACUCCCCAUCAUCCCAACUUUAACCUCCCAAGAAACAAAAUAAAUGUUUCUCACGCCUCCUCUUUUACUUCCCAUUUCUCAUAACUUUUCUUCCAAUACGAUGAAACAUAGUGUUGGUCAAGGCCCGAUUUUGCAGGUUUAGUCAUUUCUCAUGUAAAUCAUCAAAAAAUGACUAGGUGCACAUCAGAAGGGCGGGAGACAUCCUAAUAACAAGGACUCUUUAGAAGUAGUGGAGGUAUAAAUUCAACUUUAGUUUUAGUGGUCACAUAAAAUCAAAACUUCUCUUAGGAAGAAGAGUAAAGUUCUCUUGGAAGCAGCAGUUUGAGCUGUCAUGCUUCCUCAGGCCCUCCAAAAUUCCUUAAGCAACUUACAAAAGUUAAAAAAGAAGGAAUGUGGUGGAGGAAAUGAAGGGAGUACCAAGGUCAGAUAAGUUCCCGAGCCUUCACUCAAGUUGCAAAUUAGGGAAACAGAAGAUAAAUGAAGAGAAAUUAGAAAAAAACACAAAAUCUAUCACUUUUUGGCCAUGAAAUUUUUUCACUUUUUCCUCAACUCCAGAAAUCGCGUUUGGCCAUAAAAUUCCAGAAUUUCACUUGAAGUUGAAUUCAAAAAUUUUAAAAACAACAAAAGGUGUUUUCACUUUUUUCACUCCAAAUUACUUACAAAAUGUCAAAGACAACUCCAAAUUGUAUUCAUGGCCAAACACAAUCAAAUAUCAUUUUUUACUUUGAAAACAAAAACUACUUUUUCCAAAUUUCACAAUGAAACAUGGCCAAACUCUUAAACAAAAAACUCAUCAUUUUUUCCUUUUGAAAUACUUUUGGGCCCAAUGAAAGAUAUGGCCCUCCAACCUACUUUCUACUAGCUUUCCAAUUUCCUGACCAAAUGAAUGAAAAUUUUCUAAAACUUCUUCUUCCAUUCUCUUUUCCCUUCAUUUCUCUCCUUAUCUAGAAAAAGCGUUGGUCAUGACAUCACACAUCAAUUCACCAAUGCAUGUACUAUUCAAUGCAACCCUCCUUUUCAAAAUAGAGCUCAUGACCCAUGGGUUAUGAGGCACACACCUUAUACUGUAGGAUGGGUUUCAGGAAACUAGCUAUACUUUUCAGUGGAUAUCUCCAAUAUCAACUAAAUCAUAUCUAUACUCCAGACGGGGAAAGCAUAAUCAGAGUAAAUGACCAACUGUUUUACGCAAUCAUAAUCCACAAGGGUUGUAAACCAGUUGCUCAAUAUUAAAAAAUAUACAAAAUUCUUGAUCUGCAUCACAUCACAAAGUUGCAAAAAUAAAAUGAGAAUACAAUUCACUUUCCUAUUUUUACUUGUCCAAAAAUGGAAAAGGAGGGGGCUAUCAAAGCAACAGUACAGCGACACAAAAACAUAAUUAAGAUAUUCCUCUAGAAGUAUCAACAGAUAAAGCUAUCAGUGAUUGACUAACCUUUCUGAAAUGUUCAAGAGCCUCUGUACUAAUUUUACAUAGAUCUAUACAAAGCUGGACACCAGUAAUGAGAACUCCAUGGUGCUUCUCACUUAACAAGGAAGCUGCAGCGUGUAUAAAAUUUUCGGCAAGAUCGGGGACCUUCUUUAUAAUUCUUAUAGAACAAAGUGCUGCCUACAGUAGACCAAAGUAGAGUGAAUAUAAUGUUAAGGAACCAUUUGCAAGUUUAGCACAAAAGGAACAUCAUAUAUCUACCGAGUAAAAUACUCAUGUCAUGAGAAAAACUAAAAGACAUUAAGUAGGUGUUUGGGCAAUACUGGUUUCAAGUUGAAAACAGAGUAUUUGAAGUUAAAAUUUGAAAAGAAUAUUUUGAACAGAUUUCGCUGUUUUGUGUAAAUAACAACAAGUGAUCUUAUCCAAAAGGAGACCCAGAGGAAAAAAAAAGCAGAGCCAACGACAAGAAUGAGGCCCCAAGUAUAGAGUUCACAUGAAAACUUUAAAUGAGCUGAUCAUGGAAAGAAACACAUAGAUGCACAAUGAUACAAGGAGAAGAAAUGCUAACAGCAACUCUUUUUUGGGGGUAUAAGUCAAAUAAUUUUUUUUGAUAAUGAUAAGUCAAAUAAUUUCAUUGAUAGAAGUUAAACACAAAGUCUGUAAGAAAAGAUAAACGCUGUGUAUGACUCGACCCAAGUCAACCAUAUUGUCUACAAUAUGGUAUACUCUCCUUACACCAAAAGUACAAACGUUAAGUUAAGGUGUUAACGCAGAAAUCAGUAUUUCGGAAAAAAAUUAUAGUCUUUCAUUCCAAUGCUGAUAGAAGCUGUUUAAAAAGGACGUGUUCCAUAAGGUUUCAUCAAGCAAAAAACGACUUUGAGUAUUCCAUUUUCCAGAGUUAUACUUGAUCAGGGAGUCAAAUUUCCAUUCAGUAAUUCAUGCCAAAACAUAAUGAGUCGUGGCUAGGAUAAUCAGCUGCUACCAUCUCCCAAUUCCUAAUAUGUAAUUUCUGCAAUAGGAUAUUACAAAUUUCACCAACUAAGACACAAAGGUCGAGGAACUUAAUUGUGAAGCCUGAUCUGAAAAUCUACUAAACCAGCCACCCCUCAUCCGAGAACAAUGUCCUAACAUUGAAUUAGCCCGCUUUUUUUGACACUAUAUCCUGAAACUCUCAAGCAACUUAUCAGAGAAUCAUACACACAUCCCUUCUCGUAUAUGGAAAGAUACUAUCUCACUUCUCAAAGACGCCAAGUUCAACACUGAGCCAAUCACCAAGACCAAAUUUUCCACACUAACCUACUCCUUACUCAACAUAUUCUCUUUUCCUUUUUAAUAAACCUCCAUCUCUACAGAUGGACCUCAAUUAAAUAUAGUUCUUCAAAUGCAUUCUUGUAGAAACAAGUUACAGUUGGCCAAAAAUCCCAAAAGAAUUCCAGUUUAAGUAAUGGGAAAGAAAUUUGAUGAUAUAGACAACAUUCAAAAACUCUAGCCAUUAGGAAGAGCUAUGAGACUUACCUUCUUUCGGAUAUUAGGAUCUCUAAACUUUAGCAACCGUUCAACUUCUGGUGCAAGGUCACGAGCCAUUUCUGCAGAACCAAUAUUCCCUAAUGCACAAAGAGCAAGUCCAACAAUAUAUUGAUUGGUGUGGUUAAGAUCUCUACUCAAAAGUUAAGGUAUAUGAGUGUAACUGUGAAUUUGAUCUUUAAAAUUCACAGAGCAACAGCAGCUGUUACCUUUAAAAGUUUUAUAAAUCAAAGAGCAAUAGCCUAGCCUAAUCAACUCAAAGUGCUUUUGAGGUAAAAAAAAAGAGGAAAAAAAAGGACCUUCUCCAGUGAUUCGUUCUCCAUAUAUUGCUUUUAUUUUUUUUAUUUUUUUCCAUAUAUCCCUUAUGAUCUGGUUUGAAUGUACAUAUAAAGAGACUUCUUUUAAAGAGGAAAAAAAUGAAACACAACAAAAGGAUACUGCUUUAUAGAAUUCGUAACCAACAUUAGAACCUCUUGUCUUUCGUCAAGAAGCAACAUUAGGCCAAGAUAUCCUAUUCUUUUCUCUGGAAAUCCUGGAGAAGCAAUCAGCUUCAAGCAUUCCAUUUGACCAAAGUGUGUAGGAUAACCCAGCAUGUGAAUGAACAUUAGUUUUGCAAGAUUACGAUGUCUGUAGUCAUGAUCAUUAUCACUGAUUGCAGCUCUGAUAGCAGCACACUCUUUUCUUACUACAGCACGCUCCUCUGCUGCAGUUUUGCUAGCACGGAUAGCCCGAAUCAUGUCCCUGCAUUCGACCAAUAAGUGCAUAUAAAUUUCUAUUAUAAGCUCUUGUAUUAUCUCGUUUUCAGUUAACCUAAAUGAAAUUUCUGACAGGGGAACUAGGGAACCACCCACAUUUCUUUCUGUGAGAGAAUAUUGACUUUAAAAGGGAGCAGGAAUUCAGAUGGGAUUGUCCUUGACAAACAACAACAACAAUAUAUCCAAUGAAAUUCCACAAGUGGGGCCUGAGGAGGGUAAAGUGUACGCAGACCUUACCACUACCUCGUGGAAGUAGAGAGGUUGUUUCUGCAAGACCAUCAACUUGUGUACAGCAAAUCAAAGUAAGUAUGAAAAAGGGGAAAUGACACUAAAGAAAAUAUAGCAACUAAUACAGAAACAGUAACAACAACAAAAUAGUGCAAUAACAGAAACACCAAAAAAAAAACAGAUGGUGGUAGAAAGCAAAAGCAAGACACUACAAGAAUAAAGUUAAUACUAUGGCAGACAUCACUAAGCCCCUAAACCCUUCCAGGAAGCAAGAGAACACUCCACUACCUACUAACCUUCUACCCUAAUCUGCAACCUCCACACACUCCUAUCUAAGGCAUGUCCUUAGUAAGCUGAAGUUGGGCCAUGUCCGGUUUAAUAAUCUCUUCCCAGUACUUUUUCAGUCUACCUCCUCGUACCCACUAUAUCCAACCUCUCGCACUCCUCAUUGGAGCAUCUGCACAUCUCCUCUUCACAUGCCCAAACCAUCUUGUAUGUUCUCAAAUGGGAUUAUUAGAAACAAAAUAUAUCAAAUUCCUCUAAGAAGACAAACAGAGUAAUCGAGGCAGUCCCACCUUCCAUCUUGUGAAUGCUCUCUCUUUGAUGAACUUAAGAAGUUUUAAUGGGGAGUACCACCUCGCCCAUCGACAAAGUUUUAUCUAAUGCAACAUAAAGUACUAGAAACAAACAAGUUUUCUGUUCUGGUAAAGAUAAAUUGCAAAGCACCAUGUUGCUUCCAGGGUAUAAAGGUGUCACAAGUGCCACUCUUCUACAUGAACCAUAGCUAUGCAAGUAAUGAAUAAACACUUAAUUUUGGACAAUUUAUCUCCCAAAAAAUAGCCAUUCGGUGUUGUGAAAGACUGUAGCACUAGCAGACAUGGUUAUGGGUUUGGAGAUGGAGCGUCAAAGGAGGCAGCUCGAAGAAUAUGCAGUACUACAUCCAUAAAUGAAGCAAUAUGGACCCAAAAAAAGGAAUCUCAUUUCUAAACGCAUGGAAGAAGUUCUUGACAUGGACCCAAAAUCUUGCCCUGAAAGCUGGAAAAACUACUUAAAACCUGGGAUCAUGAAGGUAUCUUUAAUCCCAGAAGAAUAAAAUCUUGUCACUCCCUUUGAGCAGAGUACGGCAACAAGUGGAAGAAAAUUGCUGUUGAAGUCUCUGGCCGUACUGCUAACGAUUAGGCAAGUGGUGGGAAGUUUUCAAAGAGAAACAGCUUAAGCAUCUUCAGAAAUCCCAGCAAAAUCAAGAAUACGUUGACGAACCUUCUGUUUCUUCCAUCUCUGGUGUUGGGUCAGCACAAGGAGGAAUCUGUAGGAAGUACAAGCACAUAUUGGAGACUUCUGCAGAAAAGUACAUGCACUUUCUUUUGGAUCCCCCUUGCCUUUACCAGUCAUCAGUGUCAUGCCAAAUCUUGAACUGCCACCAGCUGUCUUUUAAACCCGGUGGCUAUGAAUGAACAGAUGAAUUCCACCACUAUUUCGCCACCUUCGUCCGUUCUCCCCUGGUGGAUAUGAUAUCACAUUUAACUUCAUCAUCUUCCGAUCUAUCCCUUCUGUUGGUCCCAUACUUGCACCAUCUGAACCGCUGUUGCAUAUACAUGAGCUGGCUCACCCUGAUUUGGGUUUGACAAGACACUUAUAUCUGGUUCAGCAUCUGGAUACCUUAAUCAGGACUGAAAAGAGCUGGAAGAAGGAAGACAAAACUGGGUACAGCACAACAAGGAGACAAGUGGAGGCUGAACCGGCUGGAGCAACAACUAGUGUUAAGGAAGACUAGAAAAGGAGGGAGAAAAUGGAGGAAAUUGAAGCAAAAUAUGAGGUGUUUACAUGAAGAGGAAACGGCUUUUCUUGGGAGGAUAGAGGGAGGAGGGAAUACAGACAUCAAACCAAUGCAUUAGAGAGAGAUACAGAGCUAAGGCAGCAAAGUUAAUGAUAGCUAGGAGUAGUAAGCAAUUGAAGUUGUCUAAACUUAUAGAACAAAAAACAAACCGGAUUCCAUAGUCAUGGCGGUGGGUUGGAAUUAUUGUAUCCAAAGAUAAACAUUAGAUUAGGUCAGUUUUUAGUAACUACUGCUAGUAUUGUUUUUAGUAUGCUGUGUUAUGCCAUCCACGUUUUGUAAAUCAAGUUUGUAUCUAAGACAAAAUUUGCUUAUAUAGUGAAAAAAUCAGUUAUUUUUGGCUUCACUGUUUGUUCCUUUUUUUUUUUUUGACGAGAGUAAUAAUGAACUUUUUAUAUGACAAAACAGCACUAAGAUAGAACAGAAUCCAUCUGGAAUGAACUAUGGAUUGGGGAAGAGGAUCUGAAGACUACUUUUCCAGACUUAUACAUCUUGAGUCUGCAACAGAUGAAUAUGGUGACACAAUUAUGGAGUCCUCAAGGGUGGAACUUGACUUUUAGGAGGGCACUAAAUGAUUGGGAAAUCAACAGAGUAGCAGAUUUCCUUCAGAUUCUAAAUGACUUCCCAGGGACAGCUGUAGGUCCUGAUUUGCCAAACUGGAAGCUACAUAGCAAAGGGUCCUUUACGGUGAAAUCAUGUUACUGGAGCUUGAAUUUUAGACAGACAAUGACAACAAAAUAGCCAUGGGAACUGGUUUGGAAGGUUAAAAUACUCCAUAAAGUUUCAUGCUUCAUUUGCUUGGUGACCAGGAGAGCAUGCUUAACUCACGAAGUACUACAGAGAAGAGGUAUCCAGAUUUGCUCAAGGUGUUUUAUGUGUGAGCAAGAGGCACAGAUAAACAGUCAUUUAUUCAUGCAUUGCAAAACAGCUAUAAAUCUGUGGAACAUGUUCUUCUGUAUACUUGGGAUAAGUUGGGAAAUGCCAAGGACCUCAUUUGAUAUGCUGCAAAGUUGGGAAGGAGUGGGGAGAAGAGGAUCACAAGAAGAUUGGUGGAGAAGCAUUCCGGCAUGUGUCUGGUGGACCCUAUAGAAAGAAAGAAAUGAAAGAUGCCAUGAUGGAAAAGCUAGCAGUCUCCAAAAGAUCAAGAUGAAGAGUAUAAGUUUUUUGUAUUUUUGGUGUAAACAAGAAAUAGUGGGGGAGAUAGAUAGCUUAGUUGAUUUCAGAGGACAAUUGUAAAGUUUCUAUCUAGACUUUGGUCUUGAUGAUACCCUCUAGGGUUGUAAAUCCCACCCCAUCAGCUUUUACCUGAUGGGCUUUUUGGUGUGAAUAUACAGUUACCAUUAUCCAAAAAAAAGACAGAAUCCAUUGUAUUUUGCAAGAAGUUGAAUAAAAUCAACAAGUUUUACAUGUAACAACAAAACUGGCUUUUUCUUAUCAGCGCAAAAAAGCUAGCUUUAAUUUUAAAUCCUUCAUAACCAAGAUAUUUCCCCAACAUAGCCCUUAACUGAGAGACACCACCAAAACCAGAAAUAUCUUCCAACAGACUUAUCUGUAAUGCAAGUGAGUACUCAAAUUCAAUAAAUACUCGCACGAACCACAACUACACCUCAAUCCAAACUAGAGCAAGUAAGCUAUUCUAAGUUAUACCUAGUGGUUCUCACUGAGAGACAAAUAGUUAAUCAAACUCCUGGCUAAAACCAAAUCUCAUGUGAUUGUAGCAGCAGAGAUGAGCCUUAAUCUCAAUUAAGAAAAUAGUAACAACAACUACUUCUACUACUUGUAUGCCUGAAUCCCUUAUUGAGGUAAGUUGAGUGAAUCUUCAAUCCACCCUUCAAUUCCAAAAUAGAAAAAACUAACUUGUACUUUCAAACUUAAUUCAAUAACAAAAGCAAAGCAAGCAAUCUUUUAUGAGGAACCAGCACCCAAAAAUAUCCUUAGCUAAGUGAGAGACCAUCAAACCCAAAAAUGUCUUCCCCCAUUAUUGUCAAUCCAACCCUUUCACACAACAACUAAAACUCAAAUCCUACACUAGCUGGAAUUUGUCUAUAUGAAUCCUCAAUAUCCGUUUCCCUCCAUUGAAACCCGUUUCAUUCCAAUACUUAACAGCAACUUUUGACAAAAUUCAGUAAACCCAAAAUGAAAAACAGAUAAUUCAGCAAAAUAUUAAUGACCCAUAUUGAUCCAAUAUAUAAUUAGUAGAAAUAUGAGUUUCAAUUGGGGAAGAGGGUACUAACCUAAGACGUGUACCGGACGAAAAGGGAUUCAUGAUUGGUUCUGCUUUAAAACUUCGAGAAAGCUCGAUCAGAUCCAGCUGAACAGAUUCUUCUAGUGUUUCCUCUCCAACUUGAUCAACCCCACAAGCAUAAAAAAAAUUUUAAAAAAAGACUAUUUAGGCUCCCAUUAAAGCUGCAAAAAAAUGUUUAUAUGACAUAAAAGGAAGAAUUUGGAUUGGAGAAAUGGAGAGAAAUGAAAAUUGAAGGAUCUGAGAAGGAAUCAGUGGGGUUCUUGGGAGAGGUUUGGAUCUGGAAAUAGAAUGCGAAAAGAAGAAAAAGAAAGGAGAGAGAAGAGAGAGAAUGUAACAGAGUGGAAAAUAUAUACAUGUGCAAAUUAAUUUAAGCUAGUAGUAUAACAAUAUGUAUAUCUAAAAAAUAAAAUUGAAGCACAAAAAAAAUUAGUUAUUUCAUUUUCUAUGUAAUAAUUAAAUUGCAAAACAUCGUGUUAAUUUUACAUGAAUAACUUUAUUUUUUAUUAGGUGUCAAAUAUUAUUAUAACUUAUGCAGAAAUUAAUACUUAUAAAUACUGAAGCAUAUGGUUAAAUGACUUCUUACCAUAUUUGUGUUUUCAAACUACUUAUAAAUACUGAAGCAUAUGGUUAAAAUUUUGUUUGGAUGGUUGUUACGUAUUGUUUCAUAAUAUAUCGUAUUAUAUUGUAUUGUUUUAAUGAAUAUAUUGUUUGGAUAGAUUGUAUAGUUCUUCGUCGUUACAUAGUGUCACACGUCAAUAAUUUGAAUGAUAAACCUAAAAAAAAAGUAAGAUAUGGAGUAGACUACUGUGAAAAUGUAGGAUAAAAUAUGAAAUAUGAUUAUUGCAUAAUAAAUAAAGACAAAAUGAAAAGAAAAUAUUAAGGUAACGACGCGAUCACACCAAAUCGGUCGUUACAUAAAAUUAGUCAUUUCGUUGUUACCUAACGAUGGAUUUAAACGAUACGAUAUAAUAAAAUUUAAGUAACAAUCAAAACAAACAUUGUAUCUAAACUAACAAUACAAUACAAUACAACGGAUAACAACCAUCCAAACAAGGUGUAAGGGCGAGAACAAUUUAGGUUAAAAAAUUGUUCCUUCAGUGUAGGUGCGCGACCUGAGUUCAGUCAUUUGGCCAGUGUGUCCCUUGAGUGCAGGUGUGCGGUCUGAGUUUGAGCAAGGCUUAAAAAAUGCAUAAAAUUUGUAGGCAAUAAAUUUCAAACAAGCAACUUAAUGUAUGCAAAAUGAUGUCCAAACCAUCGAUCGGCGGAGCAAGUUUCAUUUAAUUUAUAUUUAUACGUUAGAAUAUCAUUUUUUUAGUGUUUAAUUAAAAUUUUCCAUGAGACGGUGAUGUGUUACAUCGCUUACACUAAUAUGCAUCUACCUUUGUGGUUCCUUUGUUGCCUUAGAAUUCUGGGUAUGCAUCUAUAUCCAUUCAUAUCAUAUGUGCUCAUCUCAAUAAGUUCAAAUUUAAUGGUCCAACAGAUUAGUAUCACGUGAUUUUAUACAUUAUAGUAUUGAGUCCAAUAUGAAACUACACAACAUAAACAAUAGAGUGACCUCAAUCCUUGUUAUAUAUAGAAUAUUAUAUAUUCUAAGGAGCAAAGUUUUACGUAAACAAAGAACCAUUAGUUGUUAUGGGCUUAUGGCUUGCCUUAAAAAGUAUCAAAAUAAAAAUUAAAAAUCAAACAUAGCCAAAUCGAUCAAUUCAAACCAAACUUGAAAAAUUAAAUUCAAAAACAGAAUAUCCAAAUUAAAAUUCCCAUAUCCAAUUCAAACGAAUGAACAUUCACACCUACAUAUAAUAUAAUAUGUGUUUGCACCCAACAUUUCAAUAUCUAAUUACAGUUUAAGUUGAAUAUACUAAUAUCUUUUAUAAAUUGUCGAUAAAUUUUAGGGAUAAUUUCAAAAAUCUCUUUUAAGUUUUGUGCCAUCUUAUAAUCUCCUUUGAUUUUCAAUAUUACAUUUAUCUUUCUUAUUCUAUUUUUUUUUUUUUGUAAUAACUCUUUAAACCAAUUAUUACUAGUAUAAAAUAAAAUGAAAUAUAAUAGACAAAUUUUUCAUUUCUUGAUAUUACUUUUUUUCUAAUUUAAUGAGAACUAUCAAUAUCUUUUUUCAUGAUUAUGAUGUUUACAUUAACAUAUAAUUAAAACUUAAUAUAAUUGUAUCAAAAUCAAUUAUUUAAAACAAAAACUAAAUUUGCCAAGUACAACUAGUUUUAUUGUCCAACUAUCGCUUCGAGGCUUCGGUCACCAAAGUAAUAAAAAGGAGGAAAUUUCAUAGCAAUGAAAUUAAACUUAAUAAGUCUCCAUAGCUACAGUUUGUCUAAUUAUGCUCCAUAACUAUAGCUUCGUUUGCUAUGGAUAUUUCUGUUUGUAUAAUUCGUUUGCAAUAUACAAACAUGGAAGUAUAUACAAAUUAUAUAUUUAUGCAUUUAGGAAUUUUUCAGAACUUCUACAAAUCAAAUGUAUCAGCAUGAUAAUUAUAUACAAGUUAAGGUAAGCAUAUACAAAUUCUGGAUUUAUACAAUUAGGAACCGAAAUAUACAAAUUUUGAAUUUAUACAAUUAUGAUCCAAAUUAUACAAAUUCUGGACAUGGACAGCGUAAUUAUGAUUGUAAUAUAGUGACGAAUGGUAAUUUAACUAAACUAUAACUAUGUUAACUAAUUAACUAGUAUAUGUUUGUUUAUUCGUUUAAUUUUCCUAAUAAAAGAGGCAUUAAACCCAAUUCAAAUAAAGUUUUUUUGAUAAAAAAAAAAUAAUUCUUCCCUAAAAUCAAAGCCAAAACCGAGAAAAGGCCCAAAAUAGUUCAUCAUCUUUUGGUUAAGACUCAAAGUCAUCCUUGAGUUUUCACAUGGGACAUUAAUAGUCCCUUAUGUGUUGCAAUAUUGGUGCACUUUUGGUCCUCCUUCAAAAUUUUCCCUAUUUUUUAACAUUGAUUUUAUUCAUAAUUUAUGUAUGAAAUGUUUAAUCGUCAUUUUAUAUAUUUAGAAGAAAUAAUAACUCCAUGUGAGAGAUUGUGAGAAGAAAAACACCUUGUUUUGUUUAGUAGAAAUCGUAUUGCAGGUAAAAUCGAGAGAUUUAUCACGACGAUUUCACGUGCAAUAGUACACAUUUUUCUUUUCUUGCAAUGUCAUAUGUUUAAAUGUUUUUAGUUUAACUGCAGUAAUAUUUAUACCAAACAGAACAAGGUGUUCUUCUUCUCACCUUCUCUCACAUAUAGUUAUUAUUUCUACUAAAUAUAUAAAAAAAAAAAAAAAAAAAAAAAGACAAUGGGACAUUUUUAUGAACAAAAUUAAUGUUAAAAAUAGGCAAAAGUUUAGGGACGGACCAAAAGUGCACUAAUAUUGCAAACAUGAUGGACUAUUAGUGUUUUAUGUGAAAACUCAGUGAUGACUUUGAGUCUUGACCCAAAGAUGAGGGAUUAUUUUGGGCCUUCUCUCGCCAAAACCAAAUCCAAACUAGUCUUCAAGUGUCAAACAAGAUAAUUUAUAGGGUUAAAAUAUUUCAAUAUCUUUACUUCUAGGGACAAAGAAUAAAUUUUUAUUUAGUAUUUGACACUAUAAUCACUUUUCCUUUGGAUUCCUCUAUUAAAGCUACUAUAUACCUAGUAGAACUUUUUACCUUAAUUCUGAAGCAAAAGAAAAAAAAAGUUUUAAUUUCUUCAUCAAUAUCUUUGAUCUCAUGGCUUCACUGGUAUCUACCUUCUGUGUAUUCUUCUUCUUCUUGUUCUUCAAUAUCAGUCUUACCCCAGGUGAACUUUCUGUACUUCUUUUACUCAUUAAAUUCAGCCAAAAAAAUAUUUUAUUUUAUUUUAACUUUGACUGGUUUUACAGUUCUUGGUGAAGUGAUCUUUGAAGAUGGUUACUCAGUUAGCACAGUGAUUGAUGGCAAUAAGAUCAAAAUUAAUCCUUACUCCAUCAUCCCUGUAUCUGGUGAUACUCAUUUCAUCAUUCUUGAUUCUUCUGCCAGUACUUUUUACACAUUAUCAUACAACAAAGACUCAGGUAAAUGUGAUCAAGAUUGAUUUUUUCUUCUAAGGGUUGGUUUUCUGAAGUGGGGUUGCUGCAGAUUUAGGUUUGUUCAGUUUUUUUUUUGGGGGUGGGGUGGGGGUUAAAUGUGAUAAAGAUUUGGUUUUUAUUGAACUAUUUAGAGAAAGAGUUGAUUUUAUGAUGUGGGGUUGUUGCAGAAUUGAGUUAUUUCAAUCUUCUUGGGAAUUUUGCAGAUAUUACUGUUACUAAGUUAACUGGUAAUGGCAUUGGGUACGCGGAUGGUUCUCUGGAUAAGGCUAAGUUCAACAAACCAAGAAGCUUUGCUGUUGAUUCAAAAGGGAAUAUUUAUGUUGCUGAUCUGAAGAACAUGCAUGCAAUUAGAAAGAUUAGCAAGUCAGGUAUCUAGAUAUAGUUGUGAUACUUUCUUAUUUUGGUACUUUGUCUAGUCUUACUGGUUGUGUACUUGUGUUUGAUCUGAUACAAGUGUUUCCUAAUAAAAAAUUUAUACUGGAAAUUCAUAUCAAGGUUUUGGUUGGGGUGUAAAGUUGAAAGACUAUAAUAGUUGGAAAGUUGGAGCCAUGCCUUGGUGUUUAGUGAUACCUUGUCAGCAUGCAAACUGUGAAAAUAACUUUGAUAUGUUCAGAGGAGCAAGUGAAAAAUGGCAUGCAAGUGAAAAACGUAGAAAAGCACCCACUGGAUAUUUUUCGUUCUUGUAACCGUAAAAUAGUCAUAGUCAUGGAGUUCUAGGUGGAAAACGCAGAAAUAGCUCUGACUGACCACGUUUCGAUCUUGUAACUGGAAAAUAGUCAUUGUCAUGGAGUUCCAGGUGAGAAAACAUAGGAAUAGGGCCGACUGACCACUUUUCCGUCUGGUAAUUGGAAAACAGUCACUGUCAGGAGUUGCAAGUUCCACAGGGAGUUUCACCUGUGGAAUUUGAAGCUCCAUGAUAGUGAUUAUUUCAAUUACAGUGGCUAAAAAGUGGUUAUUUCUUUUGGGGCCUUCUCUUACUUUCCUCUGUUUGGGAUUUGAAUGUCAACGUUAUGGUUGGAUGUGGAAGGUCUUUACUGCUAAGCUAUCCCUUGUCAAGGACAUCAUUUGUAUCUUUUUAGAAAUUGGUGUGGCUAUCAGAUGCUGGGUGAUGAGGUUAAGAAUGACACUAAUUAGAAGGAAGGAUUUUUUUUAGAAUAAUGGGGAAAAAUAAGAAGAGAACACCAAGCUUCAUGGAUGAAUAAGUGGAAUUGCUGGAUUUCUAGCUCGAGUAUUACUUGGAAACCAGGCUUUUUCCAUCCAACACAGCUUUCAAAGAAAAUUGACUGGAAUAGCUGCUUUCAAGCAUUAAGAAUUGACGAUAUUCCAUAGGGGCCUGCUAAAUGGAACCGCCUGUACAGAGAAGAUGGGCAUGGAGCCAAGAGUUGCUAACUAUAAUUAGUCUAUGUUGGUGUUUGGUGGUGUGAUGUGUAAUCAAUUUGAACUUAUGCUUCUUAUGUUGGUUGAUAAAUAUGCUGUACAAUGUGGUGUAUGAAGCAUGUCUUCAAAAGUUCUAUUUAGCAACUUCUCAUGACUCUCUCAUGUUUCCCUUCUUCAACGUCCUUUUUCUUUCAAGAGGACGUUAUAGCUUAGAGAGUGUUUCUCCUCAUGGAAGAUGAUCUAGUGUGUUUAUCUUGCUUUGGGAAAAGGAGCAAAGUUACCUUUCAACAAUACAAAAAUUUCCAAUCUCCUUACUUUGAAGCCAUUCAUACCUUGUCGUUAGCAAAUCAUUUUCUAUUUGCACUUAAAUUUUAACAGAGGUCCAAGGUGGAUCAAGUGGAUUCCAUGUGACAAAAUACUUUGGGGAAAGAAGUCCAAAUUCACCUAUCUACUGUUGAAUAUGGUUUUAAAUUAUCCUCUAUGUACUUCAUGUUGGAGCUCCCUUAGAGUCCAGGGAAAAUAAGAGACGAUUUGCAAAUGACGAGGGUAACAAACAACAUACCCAGUGAAAUCCCAAUACAUGGGGUCUGGGGAAGGUGUAGAGUGUAUGAAUGACAAAGUAUACCAAAGGAUCAAAUUAUAGUAGAGAGGCAUCUUUGACCUUCCCUUUUUUUUGCUUAUUUACCUAGGUAGUUGUCAAAUGGUGUUAUUACACGGUAACUAUAGUUUAAGCUACUUCAGCAAUUUUUGUUUACUUAUUAUUGUCAUCUUGGAUUCUGAAUGCAACUCCUUAAUCAAUGAUGAUAUCAGGUGUUACUACAAUAGCCGGAGGUUAUUCAAAAACAGCAGGCCGUGCUGAUGGACCUGGAUUAAAUGCCUCAUUCUCAGAUGAUUAUGAGCUUUCUUUCAUUCCUAAAAGAUGCACUCUAAUGAUCUCUGACCAUGGCAAUAGAUUAGUCCGCGAAAUACAGCUUAAAGCCGAGGAUUGUUCAAGAGAUUCUCAUUCUGGUGAUAUAUUAAUGCAAGCAUACAUUGCUCAUUCUUUUAUUGUGUUUGUUCCCUUAUUGUGAUUUUGAGGUUGGAAUUGCCCAUCAGUUUCUGCAGUCUAAAAGCUUGUGGAUUGUUUAGUACACAACAACACUACCUUUUGAAAUCUCAUCUCGUAGAUGUUUCUUGCUUUGUGUUUCUGAAUGCCAGUCUUUCCCUUUACUUGAAAUCAGAUACUUUUUAACAUUUCUAAAAUCUUGUCAGAUCUAAGAGCAGUUUCUACAUGGCUCUUAACCGUGGGGCUUCCCUGCUUGGUCUGCUUGAUUAUCGGGUUGGUCAUUCGUCCUUACGUUAUCCCAAAUGUAAGUACACAAUGGAGGUUGAUUUUGAGUUCAGUUGAGAUGACAAAUGCUCACAUUUUCUCUAAUGGAACUUUCUAGACAGGAUCACAGCAGUCGUCUUCAGCACAACAUGACAUGGAAGCACUUCCUAAUCAAUCUGGAGAGACAAGUUCUGAUGUUCUGCUUCGUCAUCAGAAGCGUAAUUGUUGAUUCAAAAAUCUAUUCACUCUCAAGGCAGCUCGUAUUGCUUAGUUUCUCUCAUCUACGUCUAAUGUUUAGUCCUAAAGUAGUAGUAGCACGCCAGACUUCUCGUAGACAACUAGCACCUCUCAUAAAUUUUCAUGACUUUGAAAGCAAAGAAUCAGCCAACUCGCCGGUGGUAGCUAGCAGUUUAGAAGAUCUGAUAACUUUUGAUGGAAGUUUAGACAACUCUGAGCUGACUACUAAUCAAGAUGAUGCGGUGAAGGAAAGUACUGAUGUUUCUGUUGUAGAUAGCAUGAUAUUAGCUAAUAUAAAAGUGUUUGCAGAGCAAGGGAAUGCUUCUUCAGGCCCUGAAGUUUCUAAGAGCAUUUUGAGCUUGGUUAACCAAAAAAAGAAAGUAAAUUAGUGAAGUCUAGUAGUAGUAUUAAUGUAUUAUUGUUAACUUGUGCAAGUGUUAUGAAAGUUGUCAAGUCUAUCUGCUACAAUAUUUAUGUACAUAGUAUGGCAACUGGACAAGCAAAUGACUCAGCUCCUUUUAAGUUACUAUUUCUGUUGUGUUUCUUGUUUCAAUGAAGUGAUGCCUCAUAUGAAAAAACUAUUCCUUUUUGUUUCCAUUUGAUUUUUCUUAUCUUUAGUUUUUGUAAACUGCAAAUAUUAGUAUACUCAACUAUUUCAUAAUAAUUACGUCUCAGUUUCAAACUAGUUGGGAUUGGCUAUACUUGUACUUAUUGUUGUCCAUUGUUGUCCAUGAUGAGGAAAUCCUAGCUCAUACUUAACUCCUCUACUUACGUGUCUAGGUGAGCACGUAUGAAAUUAUUUGUAUUGUGAGAAUUGUUUAUGAAUUGAUAAGUUUUACGUUGGCCGCUAAUCUAUUGCGACCUUUUUUAUUCAUGAGAUUUGAUUGCACUUGCAAACAAAGAUAGUAUUGACCAUGAAAUUUUCACUUUUUAAUGGAGUUGAACUCCGAUAAAUACUUUUGGCCAUAAAAUCUCAAAAUUCAAUUUGAAGUUAUUUUCCAGUUUUUUUUUCAAGAAUGUGAAAACAAACAAAAGAUGUUUUUACUUCAAAUUGCUCACAAAAAGUCAAAAACAACUCUAAUUUGUAUUCAUGGCCAAAUACAACUGCAUGCCAAUAUUCAAAUAUCAUCUUUCUCCUUGAAAAUAAGAAUAAUAUUUUUCUUCAAAUUUUACAAUAAAACAUGGUCAAACACCGUAUGUAUAAAAGUUUUUAUAAAUAUUUUUCUUGUCCUUUAGAUGAGGUGGGAAGUUACAUGGGAUCUAUAAACCAUGUCACUUAACCAAAUGAAAUAUAUUUUGGAGUUAUCCAAUGCCAACAACCCAAAUUAACUUGUGUAAAAAGUGGAAUCCACUAAAAAUGAGAAUACAAUUUUUUAGAAAAACUUGGUAAUGAUAAUUACUUUAUGAAACAUUAUAAUAGAUCUAUUGACAAAAAUGCUUAAUUCAUUUGUCUUUCUCUAAUGUUAACUGUUGUUUACCGUUUGGUCACGUGCCCAUGUGAGUGGUUGGUUCUCCUACUGUAACAUCAGUACGGUUAUAUUAUUAUUAAUAACACAACAAAUUUAAAAUAUAAAACAUCAACAAACAUUCUUACUUUCACUAAGGAGUAAUAAUCUAUAUAAAAAAGAUCAUUAAUGGCAGAUUCAAGUGCAUAUUUUCCUUUAUAUUGUUAUAUUCAUGUCCUUACUCAGCCCAUACCACAUUGUUCUGCCAGGCUUGGUUAAAGUAAUACAACUUGUGCUUUCACAGGUGUCGUUUCGUACGCGGGAUAAGGUGAGAUAUAAAUUUUAUCCCAGACUUAAUCUCGAGGACAUCCCACCUUAUCCUAUCCAACAUGUUGAAUUAGUCCAGGAAUUAUAAUCCCAAGACAAUUUAGUCGGCGUGCCAAAUGACUCCAUAUGGUUUCUGUGUUUUCCAGCUACCUGUGGUGGAACAGAUUGUUAGGAGAAAAACUUGUACAUUUUUUUGGCUGUUUUUGUUGUCUUUGUCCUCAUUUUGUCUUUUCUUUUUUUCUUGGACCCCAUUAGAGGUUCAGGUUGUGUGCAAAGGACAAGAAAUGGGAAUAGAUCUUGUCUUGACAUAAAUAUACAGCUUGGUAUUCCAAAAAGCAAUAGAAGCAACGGAAUUCCUUGGGAAUUGAUACAAGAUAAAUUUAUACCGUCAACCAAACGCAAAUGAUUGAUAUAUAUAGAACAAAUUUUUUGUACUAGUAAUACUUUCACAGCAUUCACUACAACAUUUUUGACAACUGGAUAAACAUUAUAAGCUAUUCUAACAUGGGUUUCCACUCUCCAAAAUUUGUACUUUGAUGGCUGUUAAUGCAUGAUAUAUUUCUCAUGUCUAAGCCAUCACCAAGCAAUUUAAAGAACCUUUGAAGUUUCUGUAUGUGAAUAGAUUAAUAGCCUUGAGAAUAUCCAGCAGAGUUGAACCGAGAACGAGCAUUAUGUCGAUCAUAGAUACAGUUUGCAUGGUCUAAAGGCUUUAUUAUCAUUGCCUCGAGUUGCCCUUGUUCUUGAAUUGCUCCGAAAACUACUUCCUUUGUAUUAUCUGAGCUUUGCUCGUAGAAUGUUUGAGGUCCAGAUGAAUGAUAUUGAUGAUGUUGUAGAUGCUUCUGAGUCUGCUGUUGGUGUUGUUGAAAGUCAGAAUUCCAUCCACCACCAUAAAAAGCACGGCUUUGUUUCAGCUGUUGCAUCUUUUCAGAAUCUUUGGACAUGAAUGCAUAGGUCUUUCGUGGAGUAGGAGUUCUGGAUUCAAUGGAUGGGGGUUCAUCUUCUUUUGGUACUACAACGCUGUCCUGUACCGGCCAUGUGUGCUGCUGAUACUGCUGUUGCUGAUAUUGUUGUUGCUGAUACUGCUGUUGCUGUUGAUAGUGAUGGUUCAAAGGCAACCUUUUGAACAUUGGAAAUACACCUCCUAAAAUUUCCGAUACUGAUGCUCCAGUACGCGUGAUUAGAUUACCUAAAGACCCAAGCAUGCCUUCUUCUUGCUUCUCCACCUCACCUUCAGUUGGAAUUAGAGGAGGCCUUACUGAUGAUUUCACUGGCUUCUCAUAAUGAUCGGUGAAAAUGUAUGCGUUCUGAUCCUUAAAGAAGACAGAAGAGAAAGGAGUGAAUGAGUUGGUGUAUGGAAAGGUGCAGAAGGUUAUGACAUCCGACACAAAACAGGGUGCCAUUUGGAAGUUGUAAAAAGUUUGUCCGAUAGACGUUUUACUUGCAAACAACCAAUUGCCGCAUAAACAUGUGGAAACUAUUUUCCUAAAACCUGUUACAGUGAUCUCCAAGCAGGAUACAAAAAGGCAAGCCUAGAAGAGGAAGAAAGGUCCUUAAGUUCUUACGAAGUUAUCUGACUUAAAUCAUAAGAGUACUGACCUUCAUACUCACUUCUUCGGGGGAUACCAUGGUACCAACCCUUCGUUGUAGCAAUGCUAGCAUGUAACCAAAGAAACCAGCAGCCAAAAGCACAGCAAUACCUGUGGCAUAAUCUUCUUAUUCAAUAACACCUUCAGCUGAAACAAAUUGUACAUAGUAAGAGGACAAAGUUACUAACCUAGAGGGAAACCACUAUCAUACUGAUAAGCACAGUCUUCGAAAUGAAGUUGGAUCUCCCGUAUUGCUUUAUUUCCCCUGUCUAUGACAAGCAGGGAACAACUGCUUCCCAUAAAAACCACAUCAAAAUCAUUAGAGAAUUUUGCAUCUUCACUUGGUCCAUCAACAUGCCCACCUCCACGGCUCCAUUUACCACCAGCAAUUGUUGUCAUUGUUCCUGGACAAGGGAAUUUCAUAGCUUAGUAGUCUAACUUUGCGGACAUUAGACCACACAUUUUCCUCUUAAAAUUAAGAGAUACCCAAAGGAGAUUUUAGGAGUCAUCCAACUAUAUCAGCGUUUAGAUGACCACCAGAAGUUUGGAGUUUGUAAAGACGUGCAUAAAGGUCACAAACUAGCAAAACAAUGCUCCUAUAUCUUAGCUAGGAACAAAGUUUAGCAAAUCACCUGCAUCACUUAUCUUCCUAAUAACCAUGUUAUCAGUAUCUGCCACGUAGAUGUUCCCUCUGUCAUCAACAGUUAGACCUUUCGGAUGGUUCAUUCUUGCCUCCCGCAAUUUUCCAUCAACAUGUCCAGAAUAUCCAUCAGCCGAUCCAGCCACCAACCUAGGUCGGGUGUCUGAAAAAUAUCCCAGUUAGACUAAAAUUUCCACACUAUAAAAGUCCCACAAAGAAACUUUUAGGGAAAACAAUUAGAAACAAAACAUCAAAAAUUAUUGGCAAGAAGUCAGUAAAUGAACAGAGCAAAAGCAUUUGCAGCAGACAAGAAGAAUCAAAUGGUAAAAGCAAAGCAUCUUUUAUAGAGUUGCUGCUAGUUGAACUCAUUUUAAUAGCCAACUUGAAAAAACAGAGAUCAGGUACCUGUGGAGAAUCAAAUCUUCAAUACUGAACAAAAGUAUGCAAAAUAUUGAUGUUGAAGCACCAAAAUUCCACUGCAAACAGUCAGUGAUCUACUCAAAAAGUGAAAAUCACAAAGGAUUCUGAAAUCACAAAGGACACAAUGCACCAGGCACAUGAAGCCAAAGUGUGAAAACAAUGAGCUAAAACUCAGUACAAUGUCUAGCUGAAAUCAUUGUUCAUUUACACUCAUGUCAAAAUUCUGAUACUGCUCAAAUGAGAGAAGCCAGUCUACUUAUACACAGGCAAUAAAAGACAAAAACCAAAACAACACUCAAGAUUGAAGGCACUAAUUACCUACAAUAGCUAAAAACAACUAACAUAUACAAUGUAAUCCCACAAUUGGGGUCAGGGAAAGGUAGAGCGUACGCAGACCUCACUCAAUAAAAAAAGAAUCGGCAGGAAAUAGCUAAAAAAAACACCCAAAAGAAAAAAGAACUUACACUGAGACAAAGAGGAAGAGAUCUUGUAAAGGUUACUAUUAGCAGAAUCCAAAAUGAGAAGCUCCCCACUAGACAUAAUCUCCACAGAAUAAGGCUCAAUCCCAAGUUUGCUUCCAUCAAACACAGUCUCCACACUAUACCCACUCUCAAAUUUCAUCAUUGGACGCCCAGAAAUCACUGCAAAACACCAUCAAUCACCAAAAAUCAUUUCAUUCUUCAACUCCAUUUACCAAAAACCAAAUCAAAAUGAAAAAAAAAAAACAAUGUAGGACUAUAACCAAGAACAGCAUCAAAGAGAUCCAUACCUGUUUUAGUACUAGCUUUGAGUGACCAAACCCAUUUCAUCAGCUUCGUAACAGCAUUUGUAACAAACCCAUUUACAAUCUCUGCUUACCAAAACAAAAACACCAUUAAAACCAGCAAAAAAAAAACAGAUCAAGAAUGGCAGAAUCUUCAAGAAAGAGUUAAAAACAUGCAGAAAAUUCAGAAUGCAGACUCACUUGCAGGUGAAGGUGUAGCAGAAACAGAACAGAAAGCAGCAGAAAGAAACACAAAAAUGAGAAUCAAAGUUGAAAACUUUACAGCCAUUGUUGAGUAAAAAUCCAAGAAAAUGUUGAGGGGGUUAACUAUUGCAUUGUGGGGUAUGAACUAUGAAGCAAAAGUAAAGAAAACCCUAGCUCAAAAAAAAUGAGGUGAGUGAGUGAGAUAAAGGGGGUGUUGUAAUAGAAGUGUGGAGGAGCAAGAAAGAAAGAAGUGGCUUUGUGGGGUUUUUUUUGUUGUUGAUCUUUAGUAGAAAAGUGUUGGGGUUUUUGAGAGUGUGAGGGAAAGUUGUGAAUGAAAAUAAAAAGAUGAAAGAGACAUUGGNNNNNNNNNNNNNNNNNNNNNNNNNNNNNNNNNNNNNNNNNNNNNNNNNNNNNNNNNNNNNNNNNNNNNNNNNNNNNNNNNNNNNNNNNNNNNNNNNNNNNNNNNNNNNNNNNNNNNNNNNNNNNNNNNNNNNNNNNNNNNNNNNNNNNNNNNNNNNNNNNNNNNNNNNNNNNNNNNNNNNNNNNNNNNNNNNNNNNNNNNNNNNNNNNNNNNNNNNNNNNNNNNNNNNNNNNNNNNNNNNNNNNNNNNNNNNNNNNNNNNNNNNNNNNNNNNNNNNNNNNNNNNNNNNNNNNNNNNNNNNNNNNNNNNNNNNNNNNNNNNNNNNNNNNNNNNNNNNNNNNNNNNNNNNNNNNNNNNNNNNNNNNNNNNNNNNNNNNNNNNNNNNNNNNNNNNNNNNNNNNNNNNNNNNNNNNNNNNNNNNNNNNNNNNNNNNNNNNNNNNNNNNNNNNNNNNNNNNNNNNNNNNNNNNNNNNNNNNNNNNNNNNNNNNNNNNNNNNNNNNNNNNNNNNNNNNNNNNNNNNNNNNNNNNNNNNNNNNNNNNNNNNNNNNNNNNNNNNNNNNNNNNNNNNNNNNNNNNNNNNNNNNNNNNNNNNNNNNNNNNNNNNNNNNNNNNNNNNNNNNNNNNNNNNNNNNNNNNGAGGUUGUUGGGGUGGUGGGAGUGGGGGUGGGGGAGGAAAUAGGUGAUGGGACCUACAAAUGACCAUUGGGAAGAAAGAAGAGGAAAAGAGAGAAUCAUAUGAAUCUAUGAUUAUAUUUGUACAAUCUUUGUGUUCUUUAAUCUCUCAUCAUAAAUCUUUGUUUUUUACUACUACAAAUACCCAGGUCAAGCAAAUUAUCCAUGCUCUCUUCGUCCUAAAAUAAGUGUAAUAAAUAAGUACUCUCUCCAUUUUAUAUUAAGUUAAUUUUUAAGGUCUCUUUUAUUUUUAAAAUUAACUUAAUUGUUCAAUUUUCAAGAUUACUUUUAGAGUGUUCUUCCAAUUUUACCCUUCAUUAGUUAGUAUUGGAAUUAGUGAUUAAUUAAUAUUUAAUUAUUUUAAUCAUAAAUUUGACAAUAAUUAAUAAGGGUAAAAAUGAAAAUUUAGGUUCAAUUUAUAUCUUAAUCUACUUUUUUUAAAGGGUGUGAAACACCUCAAAAAUAAAGGUUGUAUUAUUUUAGAAGUUUAUGACAAAAUGUAGUAUAUUAUCCGAAUUAAUUUGUGUAUUACCAUUUGAAUUUCAAAAUUCAAAUAAGUCAUUAUUUGAUCGUAAUUCUUUUUUUUUAAAAAAUAUUUUAGAUUAUUAAAUGUUGUGAGUUAUAGUACAUUUCAAAGUAGUUUUCAAAUAUGGAGAUUUUAUUUCAAAAACAGAUUUUUUGUUUGAAUUUACAGUCAAAAUUAAAAUAUUUGACUCUCAAAAUUCAAAUUGCGCCACUAAAUUAGGACAUGAAGAGUAAUAAAUAAGAAUAAUUUAAUGGAUUAGAUCUUGUAUUGAGUAUUUUUCUUAAUAAGCUAAGGCAGUACUUAAUUUGGAAUGAAAAACUUAUUGUUUAUCCCCAUAAUUAAUACUAGAUAAUAAUAAUAACCUUUAAGAGUUUACAAACUAAAUUUUGAAUAAUGUCAUUUUAAGCAAUGAGAUACAUAUCCUUUUAAGUUUUUCUUAUUGAUAUUGAUCAAUUAAAAUGAAACAUCAAAUAAGUGUUGGAUGUGUGAUUUUGGAUUGAUUUCAAAUUUUAAAUUUUCUUAAGAAAUGAAAAAAAAAUUGGGAUUUCAAUUGUAAAACUUGACCUUUAAGUUAAUAUCUUGUAAAAAAGGCUCAUAAUUUUUUAAAUUGCAAAAAAAUAAAAAAUCGUUCUCAACGUAAAAAAAUUAUAUGUACCACGUGAAAGGAUUAUAUUAAAGAAUAGUUAGUUACUAUUAUAGUACUAUUGUUGACUGAUUGAUCUUUAUAAAAUUAUGCAUAUUUAAAAUUUUGUGAUGUCAAAUAUUUAUUUAUUAAAUAAAUAUGUAGAUAUGCAAUUUUUUAUCAAUAUUUUUCUAUAUUUUGUAUAUGAACUAUGAUUUACUCAUUUGGUUAAAUUAUAUAAAAUUUGAUAAUAUUUUUAUAAUUUUCACAACUUAUGAAGUAUUUAUAUCUAUGGGGAAAAAAUAUAAUUUUAAAAAAAUCAAAUAACUUGUCUAAAUAAAAUUUCAAUACUUACGAGGUGAUAUGGUAAUAUGCAGCUGAUGAUUAUAGAAUGAAUACUUUUUGUAAAGUUUUAAUAAGAAUAAGACUAUUUAAACCGUUUCGAGAGGAGCAAACGAAUAGGCCAAUUUUUUUCAUAAUUGAAGGUUAUAAACACUAAAAAUAUGAUAAUUCUGAUCAUGCACGUAAGAAAAUAUAUUUUAUCCUGUGACUUAGGUCUUAUUUGUUUAUAUUUAUGAAGGUCUAAAUUUUAAUUAUUAAAAUUUUAAUCUAAAUUUUAGUUAUUAAGUGUAUUUUUUUUUAAAAUUUUACAAUCGCUAAAUGAGCGUGAAUGAUUCAGAAUUCAGAUGUAUAUGACAAAGUCUUAAUAUCAUUAAGAUGUCUAUUUAAGAAUUUCUACAAGAAAAAGACAGUUUAUCGCUGCUCUAUCUACUUUCACUUAUCCACCCAUAAUCAUCAUUUUAGCCACAACUAUUAUCUAUAAUUACCACCCUCAGCUGCGGAGUCACAAAUAUAAAAAAUACAUGUUAAGAAUGAGAUUCGAACUUAGGCUCAAAACACUUAAAGAGCCUUAAGCACUCACCCAAGAGCCAAUGGGUCAAUCAAAUCAUUUAUUCAUUGGGUGCUCUAUGUUAAUUUUUUACAAAUACCUCUUAAUUUCAACAUAGAUAUAUAUAUAUAUAUUUCGAGACAAGGUUAAUGGGUGCUCGAGCACCCGGCGGACUCCAUGUGGAUCCUCCCCUGAUCAUCACCAUUAGAUAGGGGUGGCAAUUGAGCAGGUUGGGCCAAAUUUGAACGGGUUAUAAUGGGUUAUAUUAUGCGUCAAGACUCAAUCCAAUUUUUACCAAGCUUAAUUGUUUUAUUUAUUCUUUUAAAUUAUUUUGGUACCUAAUACAACAUAUAAAAUUGAAAAAUAAAAUAUUUCGACAAAAAUUCCACGAGUCAAUUUAGGUUUCAUAUCAACUCAAUUUUUAAUAAGUUGAAUGGGUUGAGCUAAUGAAUGGGCAGGUCAAUAACCCGCCCAAUUUAAACGAAUUGGACAGGUUAGGUUUGAUUUCGCUACCCCUAUCAUUAGCCACCAUUUACAAUCAUCACCACCAACUAUUAUUACCUCCACUAAUCACUAUCAAUAAUUACCACCCUCCACUAAAUAUCAGACAUCUCCAAUACGAAUACCAUACAUCAUAUGAGAAACUAAAAAAACAUAAAUUAGACAUAAUUUAAAUAUGAAACUAAUAAAAACAUGAUAGAUUAUAAAGUUUUGAUCCAUUAGCUCCUUCUCCUCUUGUUAUACAACUAUAGCCAUUGACGACAAUAGAGAGAUUGGUGGGGGCUAUUUGGCUAUUGGUAUUUGGGUGGUCCAAUUUUGUCAAUUUAAACAUUGAUUCUAUCUAUAAAAGUUUUUAUUUUAGAACUGUUCUCCCACUUGCUAAGGCUAUUGUAGCUAUAUAUAUUAUUUUUUAGAUGUUAUAAUAUAAUUGAGAAAAAAAAUGAUGAAAAAAUAAAUCCAAGAAAGCAUAUUAUAUACAGUAUUUUCGUUUCUUAAUCAAUCAUUUUCAUUUCCUCUCUGUAGGCACAUGCAAAUGCAACUACAAAAAGAAGGGCAUAUAUCAUUGUGUUUCGAUGUUAUAUAACAAAGUUAAUAUGCACAACUACCACUUAUAUAAUAAAAAUAAUAAAAUAUUGAUAUAAAAAAAAUCAAUUGAGGGUUUUGUUGUGAAUCCAUUUUAUAUAGGGAAAGAAUAAUUUAGAUUUAAAUUUUAAUUCAUCACAAAAUAUAUUUUUAUAACAAAGAGAAUGCUAACGAGCAAGAAUUUAAUUGAUGUAUUCAUUAUUACUCUCAAUUUACGUUUGUUCAGACUAACAAAUACAUGUAGCUUGCUUGAGUUGAGAACUUUCGCUGAAAGUAUCACGUUGUUCUUGGAAACUGACACAACUACUGAAGCAAAGGUACAUACAUUCAUAGCUAAAUUAUGUUUAUUUUAACUUUGAGUAAUUCGAAACUUAAUGUGCCUAUAAUAUUAUUUUACGUUGUCGAUGAAGGAAAUAAGAUUUCAUCCGAGAAACCUUCAAAUCGAUAUUCAACUACUUUGUAUCAA
rnacentral:lncRNA from 1 species